AGUAAUGUCUGGGAAACUGCCUGAUGGAGGGGGAUAACUACUGGAAACGGUAGCUAAUACCGCAUAAUGUCGCAAGACCAAAGUGGGGGACCUUCGGGCCUCAUGCCAUCGGAUGUGCCCAGAUGGGAUUAGCUAGUAGGUGGGGUAACGGCUCACCUAGGCGACGAUCCCUAGCUGGUCUGAGAGGAUGACCAGCCACACUGGAACUGAGACACGGUCCAG
rnacentral:rRNA from 1 species